CGCGCAGGCGGGUCAAUAAGUCAGAGGUGAAAUCCUACAGCUUAACUGUAGAACUGCCUUUGAUACUGCUGAUCUUGAGUAUGGAAGAGAGAGACGGAAUUCCAGGUGUAGUGGUGAAAUACGUAGAUAUCUGGAAGAACACCAGUUGCGAAGGCGGUCUCUUGGUCCAAUACUGACGCUGAGGCGCGAAAGCGUGGGUAGCAAACA
rnacentral:rRNA from 1 species